CGCAGUCCGAGCUUCCCCAUCAUUAGUGUCUGUGGGCGUGGCCAGCGCUGUCAGGGUCUGCGCACGUGCCCUGAGCGGCUCCCUUCCUUUGCCAGGUGAUCCCACAGUUGACCUAUUGCCUGUUGGACCACUGAGCAAUGGGACCCUCCACUGUGGGUGGCAUUUCUGAGGCCCUCCUCUCACUGGGCACUCUUGACAUUCCAGAUCUGUCGCAGCUGCAGUGUCAUUGUCUGUCUUAGAAGGAGUUCACUGAGGGGAAGACAGGGUGUAUCCUCAAGGAUCCGGCUGGUCCUCAUCCCUUGCCCACUGAACUGUGGCUGUGGUAUCUGGCGGGCUUCAGGGCUGACCUGGAGUCACAUUCUCCAGAACCUCAUCAAUGCCUCGUUUUCUAAAUGGCGGACCUCAUCAUCCCACCUGACCCUUAAAAAUCCUUUGAAGGCUGCUGCUCUGGGUGUCCUUCUCAGACCCGUGGCAUACAAGCCCGUUCAUAGCCUGGACCUGCCCAGUCUUCUCCCUUCACCCUUCACUCUAUUCUCUGCUGCUCCAAAGCCUCCUGUUCGGGGGUUAUUCAUUCCUUAAACAUGUCUGGGUCUCCUGGGCCUUUUCUCAUUUUACUUCCUCUUCCUAAUAUAUCCUCCUUCCUGUGUAAGGCUAUAUGCCUUGGGGUGUUUUUGUUUGGUUUGGUUUUGGUUUGGUUUUUUUGGACUG
rnacentral:lncRNA from 1 species